GAUGAACGCUGGCGGCGUGCCUAAUACAUGCAAGUCGAGCGAACGGACGAGAAGCUUGCUUCUCUGAUGUUAGCGGCGGACGGGUGAGUAACACGUGGAUAACCUACCUAUAAGACUGGGAUAACUUCGGGAAACCGGAGCUAAUACCGGAUAAUAUUUUGAACCGCAUGGUUCAAAAGUGAAAGACGGUCUUGCUGUCACUUAUAGAUGGAUCCGCGCUGCAUUAGCUAGUUGGUAAGGUAACGGCUUACCAAGGCAACGAUGCAUAGCCGACCUGAGAGGGUGAUCGGCCACACUGGAACUGAGACACGGUCCAGACUCCUACGGAGGCAGCAGUAGGGAGUCUUCCGCAAUGGGCGAAAGCCUGACGGAGCAACGCCGCGUGAGUGAUGAAGGUCUUCGGAUCGUAAAACUCUGUUAUUAGGGAAGAACAUAUGUGUAAGUAACUGUGCACAUCUUGACGGUACCUAAUCAGAAAGCCACGGCUAACUACGUG
rnacentral:rRNA from 1 species